rnacentral:snRNA from 1 species
AGUGGCCUUGCUGCCACGAUCCACUGAGA